rnacentral:rRNA from 1 species
GGGUUGUGAGGUUAAGCGACUAAGCGUACACGGUGGAUGCCCUGGCAGUCAGAGGCGAUGAAGGACGUGCUAAUCUGCGAUAAGCGUCGGUAAGGUGAUAUGAACCGUUAUAACCGGCGAUUUCCGAAUGGGGAAACCCAGUGUGUUUCGACACACUAUCAUUAACUGAAUCCAUAGGUUAAUGAGGCGAACCGGGGGAACUGAAACAUCUAAGUACCCCGAGGAAAAGAAAUCAACCGAGAUUCCCCCAGUAGCGGCGAGCGAACGGGGAGCAGCCCAGAGCCUGAAUCAGUGUGUGUGUUAGUGGAAGCGUCUGGAAAGGCGCGCGAUACAGGGUGACAGCCCCGUACACAAAAAUACACAUACUGUGAGCUCGAUGAGUAGGGCGGGACACGUGGUAUCCUGUCUGAAUAUGGGGGGACCAUCCUCCAAGGCUAAAUACUCCUGACUGACCGAUAGUGAACCAGUACCGUGAGGGAAAGGCGAAAAGAACCCCGGCGAGGGGAGUGAAAAAGAACCUGAAACCGUGUACGUACAAGCAGUGGGAGCACGCUUAGGCGUGUGACUGCGUACCUUUUGUAUAAUGGGUCAGCGACUUAUAUUCUGUAGCAAGGUUAACCGAAUAGGGGAGCCGAAGGGAAACCGAGUCUUAACUGGGCGUUAAGUUGCAGGGUAUAGACCCGAAACCCGGUGAUCUAGCCAUGGGCAGGUUGAAGGUUGGGUAACACUAACUGGAGGACCGAACCGACUAAUGUUGAAAAAUUAGCGGAUGACUUGUGGCUGGGGGUGAAAGGCCAAUCAAACCGGGAGAUAGCUGGUUCUCCCCGAAAGCUAUUUAGGUAGCGCCUCGUGAAUUCAUCUCUGGGGGUAGAGCACUGUUUCGGCAAGGGGGUCAUCCCGACUUACCAACCCGAUGCAAACUGCGAAUACCGGAGAAUGUUAUCACGGGAGACACACGGCGGGUGCUAACGUCCGUCGUGAAGAGGGAAACAACCCAGACCGCCAGCUAAGGUCCCAAAGUCAUGGUUAAGUGGGAAACGAUGUGGGAAGGCCCAGACAGCCAGGAUGUUGGCUUAGAAGCAGCCAUCAUUUAAAGAAAGCGUAAUAGCUCACUGGUCGAGUCGGCCUGCGCGGAAGAUGUAACGGGGCUAAACCAUGCACCGAAGCUGCGGCAGCGACGCUGAUGCGUUGUUGGGUAGGGGAGCGUUCUGUAAGCCUGCGAAGGUGUGCUGUGAGGCAUGCUGGAGGUAUCAGAAGUGCGAAUGCUGACAUAAGUAACGAUAAAGCGGGUGAAAAGCCCGCUCGCCGGAAGACCAAGGGUUCCUGUCCAACGUUAAUCGGGGCAGGGUGAGUCGACCCCUAAGGCGAGGCCGAAAGGCGUAGUCGAUGGGAAACAGGUUAAUAUUCCUGUACUUGGUGUUACUGCGAAGGGGGGACGGAGAAGGCUAUGUUGGCCGGGCGACGGUUGUCCCGGUUUAAGCGUGUAGGCUGGUUUUCCAGGUAAAUCCGGAAAAUCAAGGCUGAGGCGUGAUGACGAGGCACUACGGUGCUGAAGCAACAAAUGCCCUGCUUCCAGGAAAAGCCUCUAAGCAUCAGGUAACAUCAAAUCGUACCCCAAACCGACACAGGUGGUCAGGUAGAGAAUACCAAGGCGCUUGAGAGAACUCGGGUGAAGGAACUAGGCAAAAUGGUGCCGUAACUUCGGGAGAAGGCACGCUGAUAUGUAGGUGAAGCGACUUGCUCGUGGAGCUGAAAUCAGUCGAAGAUACCAGCUGGCUGCAACUGUUUAUUAAAAACACAGCACUGUGCAAACACGAAAGUGGACGUAUACGGUGUGACGCCUGCCCGGUGCCGGAAGGUUAAUUGAUGGGGUUAGCGCAAGCGAAGCUCUUGAUCGAAGCCCCGGUAAACGGCGGCCGUAACUAUAACGGUCCUAAGGUAGCGAAAUUCCUUGUCGGGUAAGUUCCGACCUGCACGAAUGGCGUAAUGAUGGCCAGGCUGUCUCCACCCGAGACUCAGUGAAAUUGAACUCGCUGUGAAGAUGCAGUGUACCCGCGGCAAGACGGAAAGACCCCGUGAACCUUUACUAUAGCUUGACACUGAACAUUGAGCCUUGAUGUGUAGGAUAGGUGGGAGGCUUUGAAGUGUGGACGCCAGUCUGCAUGGAGCCGGCCUUGAAAUACCACCCUUUAAUGUUUGAUGUUCUAACGUUGACCCGUGAUCCGGGUUGCGGACAGUGUCUGGUGGGUAGUUUGACUGGGGCGGUCUCCUCCUAAAGAGUAACGGAGGAGCACGAAGGUUGGCUAAUCCUGGUCGGACAUCAGGAGGUUAGUGCAAUGGCAUAAGCCAGCUUGACUGCGAGCGUGACGGCGCGAGCAGGUGCGAAAGCAGGUCAUAGUGAUCCGGUGGUUCUGAAUGGAAGGGCCAUCGCUCAACGGAUAAAAGGUACUCCGGGGAUAACAGGCUGAUACCGCCCAAGAGUUCAUAUCGACGGCGGUGUUUGGCACCUCGAUGUCGGCUCAUCACAUCCUGGGGCUGAAGUAGGUCCCAAGGGUAUGGCUGUUCGCCAUUUAAAGUGGUACGCGAGCUGGGUUUAGAACGUCGUGAGACAGUUCGGUCCCUAUCUGCCGUGGGCGCUGGAGAACUGAGGGGGGCUGCUCCUAGUACGAGAGGACCGGAGUGGACGCAUCACUGGUGUUCGGGUUGUCAUGCCAAUGGCACUGCCCGGUAGCUAAAUGCGGAAGAGAUAAGUGCUGAAAGCAUCUAAGCACGAAACUUGCCCCGAGAUGAGUUCUCCCUGACUCCUUGAGAGUCCUGAAGGAACGUUGAAGACGACGACGUUGAUAGGCCGGGUGUGUAAGCGCAGCGAUGCGUUGAGCUAACCGGUACUAAUGAACCGUGAGGCUUAACCUUACAACGCCGAAGCUGUU